rnacentral:lncRNA from 1 species
UUUAAUCCACUAGGCAAGCGCCUAGGGCUAGAUUUGUAUUAAUAACUGAAAAGAAAAUUACAAACAAUUAGGAAAAGUACAAAUAAGGGGACAUUAGCACCGGUAUUAUUAAACACAAACCGGACUAACCUUACCGCGCUAAUCCUAUUGAAGCUUGGCAACCUUACUUAUAAAUAAGAAUGCAUAAAAUAAGUACUUGACACGACUAAAUAUUUUAUGAUCAUCACAGAGUUUAUUACAUACUCUGUAAUGAGAUUACAAAUGAGGAUACUAAUAAAGUGGUAGAAUAAUAUGUAGUACCCCGUUGAUUGUUGUCCCUUAUUUUCCAAUCUUGUAUAACCAUCAAGUUGUAUUUCUAUUUCGUUCUCCUAUAACUUGUUCAAAAAGUAUUCAAGAAUCAUCUUUUAUUUUUUGAACGGUUGGACUUCGAUGACGUAGUUGCAGCAGCCUGCUUUUGUUUGGCCGCUCUCAUUGGAAUUUGCCAAACAUUUGGUUUCUUGCGAUGACGUAGUUGUAGCAGCCUGCUUUUGUUUGGCCGCUCUCAUUGGAAUUUGCCUGACAUUUGGUUUCUUAUCGGACCAUGUUGCAUUUUUCAUCAAGAUAGCACCUGACUUACUCGUUCCAAUGUGGUGGUGUAUCUAGGAAGUGAAUGCAUGUGCAACAAGGAGGCUUACUUGGAAUGAAAUCUGGAGCCUCCCACUUAGUCUUUAAUUUUUCAGUUAAAG